ACGCUGUUCCUGUGGAAGAUCGACAUCCAUGACCAGAAGAAGCACGGCUCCAUUAUCCCAUUUUCCCAUAAUCCCACAAUCCCAUAAUCCCACAAUCCCACAAUCCCACAAUCCCACAAAUCCCAUAAUCCCAGGAAUUCCCUCAUUCCCAGGUGGAGAAGCUGGCGCGGACGCUGUUCCUGUGGAAGAUCCACGUCCAUGACCAGAAGGAGCGCGGCUCCAUUGUCCAACCCCAUUGUCCCACCAUCCCAAAAUCCCACAAUCCCAUCAUCCCAUAAUUCCCAGAAAUCCCAGGAAUUCUCACCACAUUCAUUCCCAGGUGGAGAAGCUGGCGCGGACGCUGUUCCUGUGGAAGAUCGACGUCCAUGACCAGAGGGAGCGCGGCUCCAUUAUCCCAUCCCUCAUUAUCCCACCAUCCCAUCUCACAACCCCACCAUCCUCUAAUCCCACAAUCCCAUAAUUCCCACCAUCCCACAAAUCCCAGGAAUUCUCACAAUUCCCACAAUUCCCAUGUUCAAUCCCAGGUGGAGAAGCUGGCGCGGACGCUGUUCCUGUGGAAGAUCAACGUCCAUGACCAGAAGGAGCGCGGCUCCAUUAUCCCAAUACCCCAUUAUCCCACCAUCCCAUUAUCCCAUCAUCCCAUCCUAUUAUUCCAUCAUCCCAAAAUCCCACAAAUCCCAGAAUCCCAGGAAUUCCCUCAUUCCCAGGUGGAGAAGCUGGCGCGGACGCUGCUUCUGUGGAAUAUCGACGUCCAUGACCAGAAGAAGCACGGCUCCAUUAUCCCAUUAUCUCAUAAUCCCACAAUCCCAUUAUCCCAUCCCACAAUCCCACAUUCCCACAAUCCCGUAAUCCCACAAUCUCAGGAAUUCCCAGCAAUUCCCACCUUCAUUCCCAGAUGUUCCUGUGGAAGAUCGAUGUCCACCACCAGCAGGACCGUAUCUCCAUUGUCCAACCCCAUUGUCCCACCACCCCACAAUCCUGUUAUCCCAUCCCACAAUCCCACCAUCCCACAAAUCCCACAAACCCCACAAAUCCCAGGAAUUCCCACCAUGUUCAUUCCCAGGUGGAGAAGCUGGCGCGGACACUGUUCCUGUGGAAGAUCGACGUCCACGACCAGAAGGAGCGCGGCUCCAUUAUCCCAUUUUCCCAUAA
rnacentral:lncRNA from 1 species